rnacentral:rRNA from 1 species
GCCAGACUCCUACGGGAGGCAGCAGUGGGGAAUAUUGCACAAUGGGGGAAACCCUGAUGCAGCGACGCCGCGUGAGUGAAGAAGUAUUUCGGUAUGUAAAGCUCUAUCAGCAGGGAAGAAAAUGACGGUACCUGACUAAGAAGCCCCGGCUAACUCCGUGCCAGCAGCCGCGGUAAUACGGAGGAUGCGAGCGUUAUCCGGAUUUAUUGGGUUUAAAGGGUGCGUAGGCGGAGUGUCAAGUCAGCGGUAAAAUUUCGGGGCUCAACCCCGUCGUGCCGUUGAAACUGACACCCUUGAGUGAGUGAGAAGUAAGCGGAAUGCGUGGUGUAGCGGUGAAAUGCAUAGAUAUCACGCAGAACGCCGAUUGCGAAGGCAGCUUACCGGCGCUCAACUGACGCUGAGGCACGAAAGUGCGGGUAUCGAACAGGAUUAGAUACCCCCGUA